rnacentral:rRNA from 1 species
AACGAACGCUGGCGGCAUGCCUAACACAUGCAAGUCGAACGAGACCUUCGGGUCUAGUGGCGCACGGGUGCGUAACGCGUGGGAACCUGCCCUUAGGUUCGGAAUAACUCCCUGAAAGGGGUGCUAAUACCGGAUAAUGUCUUCGGACCAAAGAUUUAUCGCCUUUGGAUGGGCACGCGUUGGAUUAGCUAGUUGGUAGGGUAAAAGCCUACCAAGGCUACGAUCCAUAGCUGGUCUGAGAGGAUGAUCAGCCACACUGGGACUGAGACACGGCCCAGACUCCUACGGGAGGCAGCAGUGGGUAAUAUUGGACAAUGGGCGAAAGCCUGAUCCAGCUAUGCCGCGUGAGUGAUGAAGGCCUUAGAGUUGUAAAGCUCUUUUACCCGGGAUGAUAAUGACGGUACCGGGAGAAUAAGCACCGGCUAACUCCGUG